GCUGCAUAAACAUUUCGCACACUCGUCUCCCUCACCUUCAAAGUUUUAUAACUUACCUGUCGUACAAAAUUUACUAUUUCUACAAUACAUUCACUUGGUGACUGACCAUUCCAGAAGGAUGUAGUCCUUCAUUUAUCACCCAUGGAAAUUUCCUUCGCAUUAUAAUGUCUAAAUUUAUCAUUAAAACACAAGCACUUAGGAUACAUAGGAUAAUAUUUGCCAACAAGAGUCUUUUAAGGCAGAAUUUUGUCAUAGUUUAAAUUAUUUCAUCGUAUACUUCAAGCGGAAAUGUGAGGGCAACGUUAUUAAGUAUUUCAUCCAAGAGCAGUACAUAAAUUAUGUAGUUAACCAACUCUGCAAUGUACAUAAAUGAUGUCCUGGAUUUAUAUUCAAUUAACCUCGCCUGCGCCGCCUGCCUUAGGCGAAGAUGGAUACUUCCACUCAUCUAAAUAUACAUAUAUGUAAAUACAUACGUAGAAAACAUGAAAAUUAUUCACAUCAUCAGUUCUAUAAUAUCACCUUCGCCCUCCAUAAUUCUUCUGGCGUAUCGUCUUUCUACCAUCAAAAUUUUAUCUCAAGUAGAAACAAGUAACCUCCCAUCUCUGGUUUUAGACUAAUUUCAUGUGUCUGAUACAAAAUUAAGAUUAACUCUGUAUGUAUUUGCAUCCAUACCGAUUUAUACCAAAAUCUUACCCGGUUAGUAGAAAAUCAGCUUCUAUUAUUUCAAUCGAUCUAAUCAAUUCCCCCAAUUCUCAAAAAGUUAAGCAUAAUUGAAGUGAGAGUUGAGAGUUCUUAUCCUUAUUUUUGUAAUUGCUAUUUUAAUCUAAUGAAACGUAGGUACUAGUUUGGUAAAUACUAGUUUUUUAACCUACAGAAUGAUUUUAAACUUCAUCCGUGUUGUUAGAUCGAGCCCAGUCUAGCAAUAACAUCACGCUUUCGUUACUGUUUUUUAUGGAAUAAUUAUUAUGCAAUCAAUGAUUACCUGUCCACGGAUUAUUUCUUUAACUUUAAGAAUCAAUUCAGCUGCAUUUUAUUUAGGCACGCUUAAUUUACUGGUGGAAAAACUCAUGAAGGAUGCUUACAAUAUGUACCGUAGAAUGAGAGUUGUACACAUAUUCCAAUAAUGGUAUAGGUGGUGUUUUGCUUUCCAAACUUACUACUAUGGAAUAAUAAUAAAUCAUUUUAUCAUUGUAUGGUUCUGGAAGUUUUGAAAUUAGUGAUCCAGUUGAAUCUAGCUCUAGUACUACACAACUUCACAAUUUAUCGUAAAUUUGAUAGCUGCUUAUCUCCAAACAGUAUUGAGUUUCGUGCAUAUUUGAACACACAGAUUGGACAAAUAUUCCAGGUUCUUGAUUCUAAUCUACUAUUAAAUCGCUAUUGUUGUCUCCUUGUUUGAGUGGAUAUAAGUAACUCAAAUUCAUUUGCUGGUCAAACCUCGAGUUUCAUUUGUCUCGAAUAUAAUCAUUAGAUUUUCGGGUUUUAAUUUGUUGUAUUAAUAUGUUAAAAUGUUGGGGACCACAACAAUGUAUGUAUUGUGUUAAACCGGACUAUACUUACCAAAUAAAAAUUUAGCUUAAUAAAAGAGUAAUAAUGCAUGUAUAAUAACAAUAUAA